GCCUCUGAGGAUGAAUACAAAAUUACUUUCGUUCUUCUGAAUGUUCCAUGCAGAGCAAGUUUUGGAGACCUGAACUGAAGGGCA